AUGGACUCUAAAAUAAAUUAAAAUAUAUUUGUUAUUAACUGUUUUAAUUAAAAAGCUUGUCCUGUUCUUACAAAUAAGGGCGUCGAAAAAAAUUUUAAAGCUUUUGAGCGAAUUUUUGCCCAACACUCCAUCAAUAUUGACCUGCAUGGCCAAUUCGUGCGUUAUAAUAUUCUUCAGGUUUUUCACCACCCCAGAACCCUGGACAAUUUGAGUCAUACAUUUGAUCUGCAAGAAAGUAAAGGGGUUGAAACGGUAAAAACUAAAAAAAAAAUCGAAAUUUACUGAAACGUAUUUUUAAUAAGGAAAUCGAAAGAAAAAAUAUUACUUACGUAGUUCUUCUUUCCGAUAAAAUCCUGCAAAGUAGCACUUCUAAACUUUUCAACGCACCUGUACCUCUCAUUCCUUACUAGACAUCUGCGCUCUUACCUAAAAUUUUUUUUGUUACCUUCAUUUGUCUUUAUUUUUUAUUAUUAUAACUUCUUUAUUAUUAUUAUUUGUUUUAUUUCACUUGCAAACUUUUUUAACGUUAAUAUUAUAUUGAUUGAUUAUUAUAGUAUUAAUGUAUCUUUGAUAAUUUACUUAACACUUUAUUUUUUUAAUUUUUUAUUCGACUUUAAUUUUUUCACAAUAACAACACUAAACUAAUUUUUUUUUAUUUAAGGAAUGUCUGUUCUUUAUUGACCUUUUUCGACUGUUCUUCAACUACAAUUGACACUAAAGAUCUAAACAAUUUAGUGUAAAAAUAACAAAGGCAGACUGAGCGAUCGAUCGAACUACAAUUCCUGCGAAUUUCUGCAGGAAUAGUACGGGACACUAUAUUUCUGUUGAAUUUUGAUCUGCUCGCACAUUGUUGCGGGCAAUUGCAAAAUUUCUUGUAAAUUUGAAAAUUAAGAAAUUUAGUCGUCCACUUGUAUGUACAGUAAUCCCCGCUUAAGUGUACCUUCUUAACAUGCAAGACCUUUGAGACACUUAAAACGAAAGGCACUUAAAUGAAUCCCACUUAAGUGCCUCGAGGUACUUACCAAGCUUUUUCUCAAAUACUUCGAUCUAAUAUUUUUUCUUUUAGAAUGAAAGUCACAUUUAUUUCUUAUUAAUAACAAAAAUACUUAUUAAUAACAAUAAAAAUGAAAAAAAAAAAAAAUUACAAAACUAUGUACAUACAUAUAUAUUUUCCCUUUGACAAUACUCAUCGCAUUCAAUAAAUAUUACAUUAUUAUUAAAUAAUAAAUAUUACAGGCAUUUAACCGGGGAUAUACUGUAUAUUAUCAGUAAAUCGCACACUUUUCGUUCAGUCGGAAUAAUGUUGUUAUUGCAAUUUCAUAUACGCAUUGAGUUUCGUUUUUUAGGGGUGGGUUUUUUCAGAUUCGAUGCCUCGUUGUAUUACAAAUCAUUAGCGAAAAGACUAACUACCGGUAAUGCAUGAAAUCGCUAGUAGAAUUCGCGCUCUGGUAAUCGCUAGACACCAGCCGAACUACAGGGUACUAAUAAAUAAACAUAUUUAUAUGUAUGCACAAGAUAACCUAUUGGUUAUAAAAAUACAUUGGGGCAGUUGCUUGUGCGCAUUUGAAAUAACCCCUUAUCGUGCAACAUAUAAAAUAUACAUAUAGACAUACACACAUACACAUAUAAUUAGUUUUUAAGAUAAUUAUAAAAUUUGUAUAUAAGUAAGUAAAAAACCAAAAUAAAACUAGAAUGAAAUAAUUUCUCAAUAAGGCUAGACUAUCACUUAUUUUCCCCCACCAGCGGUAAGAAAUAUUUGAAAUAGCUAGUUUUAACAUUUGAGAAUGAAUUAAAUUCUCACUCAAUGCAAGUCUAUCAUUGCCCCCCACCAGCGGUAAGGUUUGUUAGCAACUACAUUGUUUUAUAAAAAUUGGUAGACCGGAUGUUUUUUUACAUUGGUCCUAUCGAGCCUAUGAAAGAGCUCAGCCAAAACAAAAGCCCUGAAUUUAAUACAGGCAAAAUAUAAGCCCUGUUAUUUAUACAGGCACCAUAAAAAGCCCUGUUAGUUAGAUAGGCAAAAUAAAAAGCCCUGUUAUUUACACAGGCAACAUUAAAACCCUGCUUAUAAUUCAGGCAAAAUAAAAUAAUAAUUGUAAGACGGGUGCAUAUUCCCGCAUAUUAACAAUAUAAAAACAACAAUUUUUGUCGCGAGAAUAUAGCAAUAAGGUUCUACAAAAUGUGGAAGACUGAACCUAAAUACCAAUAUCUGGAUCGAAAAACGUCCAUGAUCAUGAGGAAAAUUGAAACCUUCAAAAAUAAAAUGGAAAAUCUAAGUUUAGAAUUAACAAUAAAGAAUUAUCAACUAAGCUAUUUGCAAUCAUUAUACAAUGAUAUUCAGAAGAUGAAAAACAAAUUAGAUUUCAAUGAAGAAAUUGAAAUCAUAUAUGACCAAAUAGGUGAUGAAUUUUUUCAAGAGCUUUGUUAUUUUAAUCGACAAUUACAACAAGAAGAGUCAAAAAAUACUUUUCGAAGUAAUUUGGAUAAAGAAGAAUUUAUAAUAAUUCCAAAAUUCUCUUCAUCUACCACAACAAAGCUGGUUAAAACAAAACCAAUACAAAAAGAAAAAGAGGAAUUGAUAAAUAUUCCAAAUUUAAAAAACAAAUUAAACCUAUCUCCAAACCUCUCUUCUGAAGUUGAACGAACUAAAGUUGAUAAAACAAGUGAUUCAGAAGAAGAAGAGUUUAUAAUUGUUCCCGAUCUCAAUCUAUUUUCUAAAACUAAGAAGAGACCAACUAAAUUAGUUGAAGAUAAGAAAGUAGAAGAAGAAGAUUUUAUAAUACUUCCAAAAUUCUCUCUAUCUUCUGCAAAUGAAUUGGUUAAAAAAACUAAAGUAGAAGAAGAAGAAAAGAAAGAAAGGAACGAAAACAAAAUUACAGAAAACAAAAUACAGGAAGAGACUACUGAGCACCCUACUUCUGAGGAAAAAUCAACUGAUGCGGUUGAAACCUCAGAUGUAGACAUACAUAAAAUUAAAAAUGAAAAAGCUGAAACUGGAGAUCAAGAAGUUGAGAGCAAUAUUCUCGCCAAUGAGCAAAUAACCUGGCAUUUUUCUCCUCCGGCAGACCCACAUUUUGGAGAAAUGUGGAAAGCUGGCGUUACCGAUCAAACAUGCAAACUUUCAACGUUAUUAAAAUGCGGGGACACCAACUACUGUACUACAACAUUCGAAGACAUCACUUUAAUCGACAUACAAAUAUAUAAAAUGCAGAGCGACAUCAAUCCGGAGCUGAACCCGAUCGUAACAUCUAUAAAAGAAAUUGCAGAAGACCAACUAACUACUCUUCAAAUAAGUAAAAUAUACGACAAAGAAGAGCAGAAAAAGCUGCGAGAAGGCAUUGAGAAGAUCAGCAACAACGUACUAAAAUUACUAUUACUCAAUAUUUAUAAAAUUUAUACAGUCCACUAAUUAUAUAUAAUAAUUUCUUUCCCUCGGCAAUAUGUUCAAAUAUCAUUGAACAUGCAUUCUUUUAUGCCUUAGCAAAUCCGAGGAGCUACAUAUAAAACAUAAAUUUGUAUACAUAAAUAAACACAUAAACAUAUAUGCAUUAAUAUGCUACAAACAUACAUUAUAUGUUGCACGCAUACAUGCAACACACAUACAUUUAUAUGAAGCUCUCAUACAUCUAUAUGCAACACGCAUGCACUCAACUACUAAUAAAUAAACAUAUUUAUAUGUAUGCACAAGAUAACCUAUUGGUUAUAAAAAUACAUUGGGGCAAUUGCUUGUGUGCAUUUGAAAUAACCCCUUAUCGUGCAACAUAUAAAAUAUACAUAUAGACAGACACACAUACACAUAUAAUUAGUUCUUAAGAUAAUUCUAAAAUUUGUAUAUAAGUAAGUAAAAAACCAAAAUAAAACUAGAAUGAAAUAAUUUCUCAAUAAGGCUAGACUAUCACUUAUUUUCCCCCACCAGCGAUUCACAAAUGGUCGCAUACUUAUUGGGGUCUGCCUCGAUGGGUUCUAUUCUUGCAAAAUUAUCACAUAGUAUUACCACGAAAACAUCACCGCAUUCAUCACGUAGCACCGCAUGAGACAUACUUUUGCAUUACAA